CAGUCGCCGCGGGAAUACGGAGGGUGCAAGCGUUAAUCGGAAUUACUGGGCGUAAAGCGCACGCAGGCGGUCUGUCAAGUCAGAUGUGAAAUCCCCGGGCUAAACCUGGGAACUGCAUUUGAAACUGGCAGGCUAGAGUCUUGUAGAGGGGGGUAGAAUUCCAGGUGUAGCGGUGAAAUGCGUAGAGAUCUGGAGGAAUACCGGUGGCGAAGGCGGCCCCCUGGACAAAGACUGACGCUCAGGUGCGAAAGCGUGGGGAGCAAACAGGAUUAGAGACCCGAGUAGUCCCUGUCUCUUAUAU
rnacentral:rRNA from 1 species